UACGAAGGGGGCUAGCGUUGUUCGGAAUUACUGGGCGUAAAGCGCACGUAGGCGGAAUGUUAAGUCAGGGGUGAAAUCCCGGGGCUCAACCCCGGAACUGCCUUUGAUACUGGCAUUCUCGAGUCCGGAAGAGGUGAGUGGAAUUCCAGGUGUAGCGGUGAAAUGCGUAGAGAUCUGGAGGAACACCGAUGGCGAAGGCAGCCUUCUGGGCCAACACUGACGCUCAUGCACGAAAGCGUGGGGAGCAAACAGG
rnacentral:rRNA from 1 species